GACGACCGGCGCACGGGUGCGUAACGCGUAUAGAACCUACCUUUUACUGGAGAAUAGCCCAGAGAAAUUUGGAUUAAUGCUCCAUAGUAUCAUUUUUUGGCAUCAUUAGAUGAUUAAAGAUUUAUCGGUAAAAGAUGGCUAUGCGUUCUAUUAGCUAGUUGGUAUGGUAACGGCAUACCAAGGCGACGAUAGAUAGGGGUCCUGAGAGGGAGAUCCCCCACACUGGUACUGAGACACGGACCAGACUCCUACGGGAGGCAGCAGUGAGGAAUAUUGGACAAUGGAGGCAACUCUGGUCCAGCCAUGCCGCGUGUAGGAAGACUGCCCUAUGGGUUGUAAACUACUUUUAUAGAGGAAGAAACCGCUCUACGUGUAGAGCUCUGACGGUACUCUACGAAUAAGGAUCGGCUAACUCCGUGCCAGCAGCCGCGGUAAUACGGAGGAUCCAAGCGUUAUCCGGAAUCAUUGGGUUUAAAGGGUCCGUAGGCGGGUUUGUAAGUCAGUGGUGAAAGUUUUCGGCUCAACCGGAAAAUUGCCAUUGAUACUGCAAGUCUUGAAUCGUUGUGAAGUGGUUAGAAUGUGUAGUGUAGCGGUGAAAUGCAUAGAUAUUACACAGAAUACCGAUUGCGAAGGCAGAUCACUAACAAUGUAUUGACGCUAAGGGACGAAAGCGUGGGUAGCGAACAGGAUUAGAUACCCUGGUAGUCCACGCCGUAAACGAUGGUUACUAGCUGUUCGGAUUUUUAUCUGAGUGGCUAAGCGAAAGUGAUAAGUAACCCACCUGGGGAGUACGUUCGCAAGAAUGAAACUCAAAGGAAUUGACGGGGGCCCGCACAAGCGGUGGAGCAUGUGGUUUAAUUCGAUGAUACGCGAGGAACCUUACCAGGGCUUAAAUGUAGAUUGACAGGUUUAGAGAUAGACUUUUCUUCGGACA
rnacentral:rRNA from 1 species